rnacentral:rRNA from 1 species
CGGACGACGCUGGCGGCGUGGAUUAGGCAUGCAAGUCGAACGGUAUCAUCCGUUUCGGGGGUGAGAGAGUGGCGAACUGGUGAGUAACACGUAGGAAUCUACCCUUAAGACGGGACAACCAGGGAAACUUGGGCUAAUACCGGAUGAGAGUGCGAGAGAUUGCAUUUAAAAGGAUGGCGAAAGUUGUCGCUUAGGGAUGAGCCUGCGGUCUAUUAGUUAGUUGGUGAGGUAAGAGCUCACCAAGGCGAUGAUAGAUAGGCGGCCUUAACGGGUGGUCGCCCACACUGGGAUUGAGAUACGGCCCAGACUCCUACGGGAGGCAGCAGUCGAGAAUAGUCUACAAUGGCCGGAAGGCUGAUAGUGCGACGCCGCGUGAACGAGGGAGCCCUUCGGGGUGUAAAGUUCUUUUCUAUACGAGCAGUGCUAUAUAUAUGGAUAGUAUAUAUAGAGGGAUAGUAGUAUAGGAAUAAGCAACGGCUAACUCCGUG